rnacentral:rRNA from 1 species
UAAGCAUAUCAAUAAGCGGAGGAAAAGAAACCAACAGGGAUUGCCCUAGUAACGGCGAGUGAAGCGGCAACAGCUCAAAUUUGAAAUCUGGCUCUUUCAGAGUCCGAGUUGUAAUUUGCAGAGGGCGCUUUGGCUUUGGCAGCGGUCCAAGUUCCUUGGAACAGGACGUCACAGAGGGUGAGAAUCCCGUACGUGGUCGCUAGCUAUUGCCGUGUAAAGCCCCUUCGACGAGUCGAGUUGUUUGGGAAUGCAGCUCUAAAUGGGAGGUAAAUUUCUUCUAAAGCUAAAUAUUGGCCAGAGACCGAUAGCGCACAAGUAGAGUGAUCGAAAGAUGAAAAGCACUUUGGAAAGAGAGUCAAACAGCACGUGAAAUUGUUGAAAGGGAAGCGCUUGCAGCCAGACUUGCUUGCAGUUGCUCAUCCGGGCUUUUGCCCGGUGCACUCUUCUGCAGGCAGGCCAGCAUCAGUUUGGGCGGUGGGAUAAAGGUCUCUGUCAUGUACCUCUCUUCGGGGAGGCCUUAUAGGGGAGGCGACAUACCACCAGCCUAGACUGAGGUCCGCGCAUCUGCUAGGAUGCUGGCGUAAUGGCUGUAAGCGGCCCGUCUUGAAACACGGACCAAGGAGUCUAACAUCUAUGCGAGUGUUUGGGUGUCAAGCCCGAGCGCGUAAUGAAAGUGAACGGAGGUGGGAACCCGCAAGGGUGCACCAUCGACCGAUCCUGAAGUUUACGGAAGGAUUUGAGUAAGAGCAUGGCUGUUGGGACCCGAAAGAUGGUGAACUAUGCUUGAAUAGGGUGAAGCCAGAGGAAACUCUGGUGGAGGCUCGCAGCGGUUCUGACGUGCAAAUCGAUCGUCAAAUUUGGGCAUAGGGGCGAAAGACUAAUCGA